rnacentral:rRNA from 1 species
UGGGGAAUAUUGCACAAUGGCCGAAAGCCUGAUGCAGCAACGCCGCGUGCGGGAAGAAGGCCCUAGGGUUGUAAACCGCUUUCAGCAGGGAAGAAAAUGACGGUACCUGCAGAAGAAGGUGCGGCCAACUACGUGCCAGCAGCCGCGGUGACACGUAGGCACCAAGCGUUGUCCGGAUUUAUUGGGCGUAAAGAGCUCGUAGGCGGUUCAGUAAGUCGGGUGUGAAAACUCUGGGCUCAACCCAGAGACGCCACCCGAUACUGCUGUGACUUGAGUACGGUAGGGGAGUGGGGAAUUCCUGGUGUAGCGGUGAAAUGCGCAGAUAUCAGGAGGAACACCAGUGGCGAAGGCGCCACUCUGGGCCGUAACUGACGCUGAGGAGCGAAAGCGUGGGGAGCAAACAGGAUUAGAUACCCAGGUAGUCCCUGAGCGGGCUGGCAAGGCGCAU